UCUCCGUAGGUGAACCUGCGGAGGGAUCAUUAACACGUUAUCCACGUAACACCCGUGAAUGGUAUCCGAAUCGACGGAGGGAAGCGAGAUUUGGGAUCAAACCCGUUUCUGUCGUUUCUUCUCGGCCGUCACCCUUUUCCAAUUUUAUACCCGAUGAUAACAUAAUGUCCCGGCAACAUUUGAUUGGGUUAACGCCCUUCAAAUAAAAACAAAAACAAAAGCACAACUCUUAGCAACGGAUAUCUUGGUUCUC
rnacentral:misc_RNA from 1 species